rnacentral:rRNA from 1 species
AUAGGCCCAACGCUCCAAAAAGCAGCAGUUUCCAGCACAUUCCAGGAUAGACAAAGACGCUCCAGACCCCUCGCCGUCACGGCCCAGGCAAAGUGAAACAACGAAAAGCAAACAGCACAUCCGAAGCAUCCAUCCCCUGAGUUUGACAGCUUCCUAAUCGCAGUUCGUCCUCGCCCAAAUCGAGCAGCCAUGUCGCUGAUUCCCCGCGGCAACGCCUUCGACCCCUUCUCCCUCGACCUCUGGGACCCCUUCGACGGCUUCCCCUUCGGCUCCGGCGGCAGCAGCAGCGGUGGCAGCCUCUUCCCCUCGUUCCCGCGCAUCAGCUCCGAGACCGCGGCCUUCGCCGGCGCGCGGAUCGACUGGAAGGAGACGCCCGAGGCGCACGUGUUCAAGGCGGACGUGCCGGGGCUGAAGAAGGAGGAAGUGAAGGUGGAGGUGGAGGACGGCAACGUGCUCCAGAUCAGCGGCGAGCGCAACAAGGAGCAGGAGGAGAAGACGGACACCUGGCACAGGGUGGAGCGCAGCAGCGGCAAGUUCCUGCGCAAGUUCAGGCUCCCGGAGGACGCCAAGGCGGACCAGAUCAAGGCGGCCAUGGAGAACGGCGUGCUCACUGUUACCGUGCCCAAGGCGGAGGCCAAGAAGCCCGAGGUCAAGUCAAUCCAGAUCUCCGGCUAGGCUGCUUGAGAUUAAGGUUAAGGUUCAAUUCGCUGGUGUGAGGUUCAACUCGCUCUUUUGUGCCUUUUGCUCGUGUGGAUUUGGGUCCGUGUUGAGUGUCGAGUGUGCCCUUGUCAGUGCCGUGUUCAACGCCCGUCUCCCUUGUUAAGUCAUGUAGUAAUGCGAGCAUCGAGUCCAAAGUGUGCUGUACUGCUGUGAUCAACUUCUGUGCUGAUUUGAACGAGCGAGUCACAGUUCCCUCUUAACUGCUUUUGGAACUUCGAUUUUAUUUCCGUGUUGAAGUCGAAUGC